rnacentral:rRNA from 1 species
UACGUAGGGGGCUAGCGUUGUCCGGAAUCAUUGGGCGUAAAGCGCGUGUAGGCGGUCCGGUAAGUCCGCUGUGAAAGUCGGGGGCUCAACCCUCGAAUGCCGGUGGAUACUGUCGGGCUAGAGUGCGGAAGAGGCGAGUGGAAUUCCUGGUGUAGCGGUGAAAUGCGCAGAUAUCAGGAGGAACGCCUAUUGCGAAGGCAGCUCGCUGGGACGUAACUGACGCUGAGACGCGAAAGCGUGGGGAGCAAACAGG